UUACCCCGAAACAUGUAUCCAUCCACCUAUGUUUUGCUUACACAAAUUAAGCAUUAGAUUGCAAGAAAAAUCAUGUAAGAAUGCUUCAACCCUACUCCACGCUUAGUUAGUCUUAGAAUCAUCUAGUGACAUAAUGCUCACGACAUUUUGUGUAACUACCCAAGUUUGAAAUGAAAUUAGGUUUGAAUGAGCUUCAAUUAUUCAUGGGUGGAUGUUGACAAGUUCCUUUUGUCACUCUUUUUCCGAUUCCUUGAGGCCACAAUCUUCUUCUUCUUCUCAUCUUUCUCUGCUUUUGCAUAUGUGAGAUCUCCCUGAUGGGUCCAUUAAAAGAAUAAUAAUUUAUGAGGCAACUUUGCUAAGUGACUUUUGAUUCACCGGACCUUCUCCUACUGAUCUAAUAAAAAUUCCAGGGCCUCCUUAUGCAUCAUCCUGGAAUCUCCUUUACCUGUUAUGGAAUAUAUUAAAGUGUGAAAAGAACUCAAGUACAUCAGCAUGUUAAAGACAAAGCUACUACAAUAACUCUUCCUUCUUUUCUUGUUUUUCAAACAUUUGGGCCACACACCACAAAUAAUAAUAAUAAUAAAUAUUCCUUUCUUUGAAUAUGAACAAAGCCUGCCACUAAGCAAUUGCAUUUCCAGACACAAGUAGCAUAUGCUUGCAGAUGAAGAAUCACCCUCCCCACCCCUGCUGUUGCUGGACCCACCACCUUAUACUCUCUACUCUCUCUGUUAAACACAAAUUAUCUAACUAUCAAACAAUCAUAUUGUCAUGUGUUAGUAAAUGUAUGUUUCCAUUUCACUAGCAGUAGAAUUUUGGAACCUAUUUAUCUAAUGUAAAGUUUAGCACUUCUCUGUUUUUUACUAUAACUAAUCAUGGUCAAGUAGAAUAAAACUAUUAUAACUUUGUAUCUAAAGGUUGACUUGAGAUCAAUGGUUAAAUUGAAAAAACUUAGUGCUAAAGUAAAAAGUUAUUAUAGAGGUUAAAAAUAUGGGGAAAUAUUAAGCAGUUCAAGAAGAGUAGCAGGGAAUCCAUGGUGCAGAACUGGCAGAGUUUUUAAGAACCAAUCAUUGGAUUUUGAUUCUAGUGAUCAAACUCCAAACCGCAACCCAAGAAAUUUGAAGAGUGACUUGAUCGAAUUGGCUUUUAAAGAUUUGUUGUUGGCCAUUAUAGUGUUCCUUUUUCUUUUUCUUUUAUUUUUGGUGAAAAAUUCUUUUCUCCUCUUCAGCUUGAUAUAGAUUACAGCAUUAAAGCAAAUAUUCUCUUUGGAAUAAUUUCUUUAGGAGACUUUAUCCGGAGUGAGCCCUGUGGAUUGCUUUCGUAUUAAAAGAAAGUGCAUGGUCACAUAUUCAGUGUGUUCUUAACAUCCCAUUUUAACGGGUAUUGUUGUUACUUUCACAUUAAACUUCAUUAAGCAUGUAUUAGUCCAAUCCCAUCAUCUUUACACUACAGCUAAUGAUUAAUAUAGGGUUAGUGCUUAGUUAAGAUAGGGUCCCUUUAUGAACUUUGGGGUUGAAAUUAUUUUGGUAGGAUAAUAUAAGAAAUUAUGAACUGCUGAUCGUCACGAAUGGACAUAUUUGAUGAGUGUGGUUUUUUUUAUAAGAAGGGUACGACAUUAUCUGUUGACACGGUUGAUUAGUUCUCUUUCUUUUAGUGUGUUUUCUUUAUAAAGAACACGGACGCUAAUGGGUCCAUAAAUCUAACCCUAGAUUCUUUGAUUCCUCCAUCCCUACAAGGAACAAAAAGAAUCUGCCAAUCGCAUUAAUCAACCUUCUCAUAAAAGAAAACCCAAAAUUAAGGUUGUUAGAAAGGGAAAAUGAAAUUUGAAAGAAAGAUUGAUUAAUUUAGUUUUCACUUUCAAUCAUCACAAGCAAGCAAGCAAGAAAAUAUCCGUAAUAGCAUUCCCACAUAAUUUUCUAUAGCUAUUAUUUACCUGAAAGCUUCUCACAGCAUUAAGAAAGUUGCACCCAUUAUUCAUCAUGGUGGGGCCUAUUGAGUUCCUUAGGGAAUCAACCUCAUGGAGAGAUUAAGUGGGAAAACAGCAAGAUAAAA
rnacentral:lncRNA from 1 species